rnacentral:tRNA from 1 species
GCCCCGAUAGCUCAACUGGAUAGAGCAGCGGUCUUCUAAACCGCAGGUUGCAGGUUCGAGUCCUGCUCGGGGUA